GGAAAGAAUUAAAAGAAGAGCCCAUAAAAGUAGUGGAUUACUGAACAAAGUAGAAGCUUCCGGGAAUAACGGGCCAAAAUUAAAUUACACUAUUAUAAGGACAUCCCUGCACACACGUCUCUUUUAAACAUCAGCAAGAAUCCUCUAGAGUUAGGUAUCUCUCUCGCAUAUGAUCAAGCAGCGUCCCAGCCUAUUUAACUUCUUGAUGUUGCUGGUGAAGAUUCACAGACUAUGUGCUAAAGUUUUUGUCUGAACAUAAAUCUUUGUUAAUCGUGUUACUAAUGAACUAAUCAAAAGCCACCUACGUUAUAAGAUUUCGAGAUAAAUUUUCUUCUAUCAAUACAAUAUGUUGAAUAAAUAUUUUUUAAAAUAAUAAUCUUAUAAAAUAUGUUUGGUUGUAAUAUUAGCAUGCAAGGUCAUAUGAAGUAAAGCAUUCCUACAGCUUCUUUGCAGGUAAGCUCUUUGAACAUGUAUACUUUGUUAAUCAAGUAGCAAACAUAAGGUUCAGGACAAAAUUCUGAUACAAAGCAAGUUAUUGAAAGUGAAAGU